UUCUCAGCGUUAGAAAUGCAGGGACAAGGAAAUUUUUCAGAUGUGCUCCUUGAGGCUGCUGGGCGGUGUACUACUCUCAGAUCAAAACCAACCCUGUUACUCCUGAGAAAACCGCUCUUUCGGUCUCAGCGCUGGGCAGGCCAGGCCUUCAUGCUGCUGUGGGUGUCAGUGCUGGUCCUGGCUCCUAUCAGUGGACAAUUUGCACCUGUAUCCAAACCCGUGAUUUCUCUCCAACCUCCAUGGACUGUCACCUUCGAAGGACAGGCAGUGACUCUGACUUGCCAUGUAGCAGAGGACAAAAAAUGGUACCGGUGGUACCUUGGGACAAAAAUCCUACGUGAAAUCCCAUCAAACACCCUCCGGGUCCAGGAUUCUGGAGAGUACAAAUGCGAGAUACAGGGCUCGCCCCAAAGUGAUGGUGUGAGCUUGACUUUUUCACCAGCUGAGCUGAUCCUGCAGGCUCCCCCGUCCGUGUUUGAAGGCGACUCUCUGACGCUGAUGUGCCAAGAAAAGCCAGGUUUAUCCCUGAAGACCAGGACCCUGUACAAGAAUGACAAUAAGCUGAUAGACCUUGGUAAAAAAUCCAGCUUGCACAUCAACCACGCAGAUCUGAAGGAUAAUGGGGAAUAUCGCUGUAUUGGAUCUGAGACCCAUGGUUGCGCUUUUUCGUCAGACGCAGUCAGAAUCCAAGUCCAAGAGCUGUUUCCACGACCCAUACUGAGGGCCAACCCCUCCUCGCCCAACCCCGGGGAACCAGUGAUCCUGACCUGUGAGACCCAGCUCGCCCCUCAGAAGUCAGAUGUCCGACUCUGGUUCCAAUUCUUCAGAGAUGACCGGCGCUUGGGGUCAGGCUGGAAGGGCUCUCUGAGAACCUCAAUACCCUCCAUCGUGGGGAAUGAAGACCCAUCGCAUUACUGGUGUGAGGCAAAGACAGUGUCUUCCAGUGUCCGCAAAAGCAGCCAGAAACUCCAGCUGCCCGUGCGGAUCCCCGUGUCUCCCCCUCUCCUCACCCUCAGCCCUCCCAGCACCCAAGCUGUCGAAGGACACUGGCUGACACUUUCCUGUGAAGCCAAGACAGGCUCUUACCCGAUCGAGUACCAGUUUCUUCAUGAAGAAGUGGUUCUCAGGAAAACGAAGGUCACUUUUAGGGAAACGGCGACCUUCCAACUCUAUCUGAAGGCAGAGCACUCCGGGACCUACUUCUGCACCGCAGACAACGGCCUGGGUAUCCGGCGCAGCCAGCCGGUGCUCCUCUCUGUCACCGUCCCCGUGUCUCGUCCUGUCCUCACCCUCAGCCCUCCCGGACCCCGAGCUGUUGAGGGAGACCGGCUGAUGCUUUCCUGUCAAGCCCAGAGAGGUUCGCCCCGCAUCCUGUACCAGUUUUAUCGCGGAGACGUGCCCCUGGGGAGCAGCUCGGCCCCCUCUGCAGGAGACGCCUCCUUCAGUGUUACUCUGACUGCAGAGCACUCCGGGACCUACUUCUGCACAGCGGACAAUGGCUUUGGCCCCCAGCGCAGUGAUCCCGAGAACCUGUCUGUCUCAGUCCCAGCGUCCCGCCCUGUCCUGACCCUCAGGGCGCCCAGGACCCGAGCCGUGGUGGGAGACAUGGUGGAGUUUCGCUGUGAGGCCCAGAGGGGCUCUCCCCCGAUCCUGUACCGGUUUUACUACGAGGAUGUCAUCCUGGGGAGCAACUGGGCCCCCUCUGGAGGAGGAGCGUCCUUCAACCUCUCUCUGACCGCAGAACAUUCUGGAAACUAUGCCUGUGAGGCCGACAAUGGCCUGGGGGCCCAGCGCAGCGAGGAGACCUCACUCAGUGUCACAGUCCCAGUGUCCCACCCCGUCCUCACCCUCAGGGUGCCCAGGGCGCAGGCCGUGGUGGGGGAUGUGGUAGAGCUUCACUGUGAGGCCCAGAGCGGCUCUCCCCCGAUCCGGUACCGGUUUUACCACGAGGAUGUCACCCUGGGGAACAACUCGGCCCCCUCUGGAGGAGGAGCGUCCUUCAACCUCUCUCUGACCGCAGAACUUUCUGGAAACUACUCUUGUGAGGCCGACAAUGGCCUGGGGGCCCAGCGUAGCAAGACAGUGCCACUCACCGUCACAGUCCCAGCGUCCCGCCCCGUCCUCACCCUCAGGGCCCCCGGGACCCGGGCCAUGGUGGGGGACAUGGUGGAGCUUCGCUGUGAGGCCCAGAGCGGCUCUCCCCCGAUCCUGUACCGGUUUUACCACGAGGACGUCAUCCUGGGGAGCAGCUCCGCCUCCUCUGGAGGAGGAGUGUCCUUCAACCUAUCUCUGACCGCAGAACGUUCUGGAAACUACUCCUGUGAGGCUGACAACGGCCUGGGGGCCCAGCGCAGCGAGGCAGUGACCCUCAGCGUCACAGGGCUGACAGGGAGCAGAAGUGGCCCUGUUGCCACAGGCGUGGCCGGGGGCCUGCUCAGCGUGGCGGGCCUCGUGGUCAUGGCUCUGCUGUUGUACUGCCGACUCCCCAGGAGAGCAGGAGGAAGGCUGACCUCUGACCCUUCCAGGAGCCCUUCAGACUCGGACCCCCAAGAGCCCACCUACUACAAUGUUCCAGGCUGGAUGGAGCUGCAGCCGGUGUACGACAAUGUCAACCCUAAAGCAGGAGACGUGAUGUACUCAGAAGUGCGGAUUCAGGAGGGGAACAGACAUGCAGCGGCUUCAAACUCCACAUUCGGGCUCCUCCGGACUUACCUGCCCUCGCAUGGCCCGGCCACCAGCCAGCAGCCUUCCAGACCCCAGCCCUCCUCAGUCAUCUACUCCCAGGUGAAGGUGGCAUCGCCCCCAGUCUCCACAGCUCCUCGAAGCUGAGUCCACACACCCUUCCCUGCACCCCAAGCCAUCCUGGGGUGCGAUGUGCAAGUAGGAAGGUCUGAACAGCUCCAGGCCCCGUCCUGCGGCCUCUGCUGUCAGUGUGACUAGAGCACGGGCCCCACGGGACGUUGCUGUUUCCCAAGUGACAGCCCAGAGCUCAUGGGUUUUUGCACAGUGGCUUCCACCCAGGGCCCUCUUGUCCCCUGGUUUCCUCAGCGGGCUUCAGCCAUAGGCCCCUGUUCUGAGUCCCACUCCCACAUACACCCUGAGCUCUCCUCAGUGGGACCUGCUCCUCGACCUCGUCUGCAGACACCUGUCCUCCCUGCAAACCCCUGCCCCCACAGACACCUGCCCUCUGUGGACACCUCUCAUCCCCACGGUCAUCUACCCCCUCUGCGGACACCUCCUCCCCACCAGAUACCUGCCCCUCACAGUGGCUUUCCUCAAUGGUCAUCAGCCUGGCAGGGCUACCACAGCACUUGGCCAAGUGGGACAGCAUGGGACCCUGGGAACAGGCGCAGGCGGGCUGCAGACCUCCUCACCAUGGGGCUGUCCUCCGUGCCCCCAGCUGCUCAGACAGCAAGGUCAGCCCCUGACGCCAGGACAGCUCCUCCCUGCACAGGGGCCGACACCCCUGCCCGAGCCAGUGGGUUCACAGCCCCUUCCCAUGUGCCCCCUGGUGUGGGCACAGGGACAUCCUCUCACCUGUCAGCGGGAGGAGACGCGCUCCAAGUGUGGGCUGUUGUGACAGAGCCAGCUCCGAAGGUCAUGAGGACAGAGAAAGGCAGGCAGGGCCGGAGACAGCGGAGGCGGGACAGCUUGCUGGGGGCCGUGAUCAGAUUCCAGGUCAAGAGGAAGACACAGGAGAAACUUUGGAGACAGGGAAAACAGAAUGUGAACUAUAUAGUAUUGAUACCAUUGAAUAACAAUCUGUUAUUACUUUAAGAAUAUUUUUGAAAAUAUUUGAAAUACCUUGAAGUGAUUCAGUAAAAGUUUUUAAACGUG